rnacentral:rRNA from 1 species
GACAGAGGGUGCAAACGUUGUUCGGAAUUACUGGGCGUAAAGCGUGCGUAGGUGGUUUGUUAAGUCUGGUGUGAAAGCCCUGGGCUCAACCUGGGAAUUGCAUUGGAUACUGGCAGGCUAGAGUGCGGUAGAGGGUAGUGGAAUUCCCGGUGUAGCAGUGAAAUGCGUAGAGAUCGGGAGGAACAUCUGUGGCGAAGGCGACUACCUGGACCAGCACUGACACUGAGGCACGAAAGCGUGGGGAGCAAACAGG